rnacentral:rRNA from 1 species
AUGGUGAGCCGCUCUGGUACGAGCACACUCGUGUGUGAUCCCGGGCGCCGCAGGGCCAGCGACAAGUGCGUGAAGGAGAAGCGCAAGACCAUCAACGGAGACGACCUGAUCUGGUCCAUGGGCACGCUCGGCUUCGAGGACUACGUCGAGCCCCUCAAGCUGCACCUCAAGCUCUAUCAGCAGGCCUUCGAGUUCAAGAGGCUUCUGCUUUACUAUAACAACGCUGUUUUGUUUAGGCUAGUCAUGGAGCAGAAAGAACGGACAUUGCUACUUCAACAAGAGGGAAGAUGCCUUUGUUCAGCCUGUACGGACAUAUCCAGAAAUGUGUCUUGCCAACCUUCAAGUCACUCCAACUUUGAAAGACCAAAUUCGUGA